GGGGAUAUAGCUCAGUUGGUAGAGUGCUUGCCUCACAUGCCAAAGGCCCUGGGUUCAAUUCCCAGAACCGCA
rnacentral:tRNA from 1 species